GGGCCGCUAGCUCAACCGGUAGAGCAGGGGCCUCUUAAGCCCAAGGUUCAGGGUUCGAGUCCCUGGCGGCCCUCCA
rnacentral:tRNA from 2 species